GACGAACGCUGGCGGCGUGCUUAACACAUGCAAGUCGAACGGAAAGGCCCUGCUUUUGUGGGGUGCUCGAGUGGCGAACGGGUGAGUAACACGUGAGUAACCUGCCCUUGACUUUGGGAUAACUUCAGGAAACUGGGGCUAAUACCGGAUAGGAGCUCCUGCUGCAUGGUGGGGGUUGGAAAGUUUCGGCGGUUUGGGAUGGACUCGCGGCUUAUCAGCUUGUUGGUGGGGUAGUGGCUUACCAAGGCUUUGACGGGUAGCCGGCCUGAGAGGGUGACCGGCCACAUUGGGACUGAGAGACGGCCCAGACUCCUACGGGAGGCAGCAGUGGGGAAUAUUGCACAAUGGGCGGAAGCCUGAUGCAGCAACGCCGCGUGCGGGAUGACGGCCUUCGGGUUGUAAACCGCUUUCGCCUGUGACGAAGCGUGAGUGACGGUAAUGGGUAAAGAAGCACCGGCUAACUACGUG
rnacentral:rRNA from 1 species